UAAAAUAGUCUAGGUAGAGCCUGCUCACUGAUCCCUUAAGAGCCGCAGUAUCCUGACUGUGCUAAGGUAGCAUAAUCAUUUGUUAUUUAAUUGAUAACUUGUAUGAAAGGUUUGACGAGAAAUCUACUUUCUAUUUGUUAGCUAAUAAAAAUUAUAUUAAAGUAAAAAAGCUUUAUUGUACCAAAAAGACGAUAAGACCCUAGAACCUUUAUCUUUAGAUUUUAUUGGGGCGAUAUAGACCUUAACAGAUUAUUUUCUUAACCUUUUGAAGGCCAAUAUUUAACUUUUUAAAAUAAAAAAAGGUACUCUAGGGAUAACAGCAUAAUCCAUCUCAAGAGACCUUAUCGACAGGUGGGAUUUUGACCUCGAUGUUGAAUUGAUUCUCUUUUUAAAGCAAAAUUUACUUUAGACGGUCUGUUCGACCUUUAAUU
rnacentral:rRNA from 1 species